rnacentral:misc_RNA from 1 species
GAUGAAGAACGUAGCGAAAUGCGAUAAGUAAUGUGAAUUGCAGAAUUCAGUGAAUCAUCGAAUCUUUGAACGCACAUUGCGCCCGCCAGUAUUCUGGCGGGCAUGCCUGUUCGAGCGUCAUUUCAACCAUCAAGCCCCCGGCUUGUGUUGGGGACCUGCGGCUGCCGCAGGCCCUGAAAAGCAGUGGCGGGCUCGCUGUCACACCGAGCGUAGUAGCAUACAUCUCGCUCUGGGCGUGCUGCGGGUUCCGGCCGUUAAACCACCUUCAUAACCCAAGGUUGACCUCGGAUCAGGUAGGAAGACCCGCUGAACUUAAGCAUAUGAAUAAGCGGAGGA